rnacentral:rRNA from 1 species
UCGAACGAUGAAGCCGCUUCGGUGGUGGAUUAGUGGCGAACGGGUGAGUAACACGUGAGCAACCUGCCCCUGGUUUUGGGAUAACUCCGCGAAAGCGGGGCUAAUACCGGAUAUGACUCGCGCUCGCAUGGGUGUGGGUGGAAAGUUUUUCGACUGGGGAUGGGCUCGCGGCCUAUCAGCUUGUUGGUGGGGUGAUGGCCUACCAAGGCGACGACGGGUAGCCGGCCUGAGAGGGCGACCGGCCACACUGGGACUGAGACACGGCCCAGACUCCUACGGGAGGCAGCAGUGGGGAAUAUUGCACAAUGGGCGAAAGCCUGAUGCAGCGACGCCGCGUGAGGGAUGACGGCCUUCGGGUUGUAAACCUCUUUCAGCAGGGACGAAGCGCAAGUGACGGUACCUGCAGAAGAAGCACCGGCUAACUACGUGCCAGCAGCCGCGGUAAUACGUAGGGUGCAAGCGUUGUCCGGAUUUAUUGGGCGUAAAGAGCUCGUAGGCGGUUUGUCGCGUCGGAUGUGAAAACCCGCAGCUUAACUGCGGGCCUGCAUUCGAUACGGGCAGACUUGAGGACGGUAGGGGAGACUGGAACUCCUGGUGUAGCGGUGGAAUGCGCAGAUAUCAGGAAGAACACCGGUGGCGAAGGCGGGUCUCUGGGCCGUUCCUGACGCUGAGGAGCGAAAGCGUGGGUAGCGAACAGGAUUAGAUACCCUGGUAGUCCACGCCGUAAACGUUGGGCGCUAGGUGUGGGGAACAUUCCACGUUCUCUGUGCCGUAGCUAACGCAUUAAGCGCCCCGCC